GACGAACCGAGCGAACGUUGUUCGGAAUAACUGGGCUUAAAGGGCGCGUAGGCGGGCCGCCAAGUUCGAGGUGAAAUCCUCCGGCUCAACCGGAGAACUGCCUCGAAUACUGGAGGCCUCGAGGCGGGUAGGGGCAUGCGGAACUGUGGGUGGAGCGGUGAAAUGCGUUGAUAUCCACAGGAACUCCGGUGGCGAAGGCGGCAUGCUGGACCCGAUCUGACGCUGAGGAGCGAAAGCGUGGGGAGCGAACAGG
rnacentral:rRNA from 1 species